rnacentral:rRNA from 1 species
CCUACGGGUGGCAGCAGUGAGGAAUAUUGGUCAAUGGGCGCGAGCCUGAACCAGCAAAGUAGCGUGAAGGAUGACUGCUCUACGGGUUGUAAACUUCUUUUAUAAAGGAAUAAAGUGAUGCACGUGUGCCACUUUGUAUAUACUUUAUGAAUAAGGAUCGGCUAACUACGUGCCAGCAGCCGCGGUAAUACGGAGGAUCCGAGCGUUAUCCGGAUUUAUUGGGUUUAAAGGGAGCGUAGGUGGGUUGUUAAGUCAGUUGUGAAAGUUUGCGGCUCAACCGUAAAAUUGCAAUUGAUACUGGCAGUCUUGAGUACAGGAGAGGUAGGCGGAAUUCGUGGUGUAGCGGUGAAAUGCGUAGAGAUCACGAAGAACACCGGUUGCGAAGGCAGCUUACUGGACUGCAACUGACACUGAGGCUCGAAAGUGUGGGUAUCAAACAGGAUUAGAUACCCUAGUAGUC